rnacentral:rRNA from 1 species
GAUGAACGCUGGCGGCGUGCCUAAUACAUGCAAGUCGAGCGAACAGAUGAGGAGCUUGCUCCUCUGACGUUAGCGGCGGACGGGUGAGUAACACGUGGAUAACCUACCUAUAAGACUGGGAUAACUUCGGGAAACCGGAGCUAAUACCGGAUAAUAUCUUGAACCGCAUGGUUCAAUAGUGAAAGACGGUUUUGCUGUCACUUAUAGAUGGAUCCGCGCCGCAUUAGCUAGUUGGUAAGGUAACGGCUUACCAAGGCGACGAUGCGUAGCCGACCUGAGAGGGUGGUCGGCCACACGGGAACUGAGACACGGUCCAGACUCCUACGGGAGGCAGCAGUAGGGAAUCUUCCGCAAUGGGCGAAAGCCUGACGGAGCAACGCCGCGUGAGUGAUGAAGGUCUUCGGAUCGUAAAACUCUGUUAUUAGGGAAGAACAAAUGUGUAAGUAACUAUGCACGUCUUGACGGUACCUAAUCAGAAAGCCACGGCUAACUACGUG